rnacentral:rRNA from 1 species
AUUGAACGCUGGCGGCAUGCCUUACACAUGCAAGUCGAACGGCAGCACGGGUGCUUGCACCUGGUGGCGAGUGGCGAACGGGUGAGUAAUACAUCGGAACAUGUCCUGUAGUGGGGGAUAGCCCGGCGAAAGCCGGAUUAAUACCGCAUACGAUCUACGGAUGAAAGCGGGGGACCUUCGGGCCUCGCGCUAUAGGGUUGGCCGAUGGCUGAUUAGCUAGUUGGUGGGGUAAAGGCCUACCAAGGCGACGAUCAGUAGCUGGUCUGAGAGGACGACCAGCCACACUGGGACUGAGACACGGCCCAGACUCCUACGGGAGGCAGCAGUGGGGAAUUUUGGACAAUGGGCGAAAGCCUGAUCCAGCAAUGCCGCGUGUGUGAAGAAGGCCUUCGGGUUGUAAAGCACUUUUGUCCGGAAAGAAAUCCUUGGCCCUAAUACGGUCGGGGGAUUACGGUACCGGAAGAAUAAGCACCGGCUAACUACGUG